rnacentral:rRNA from 1 species
AACGUAGGAGACAAGCGUUAUCCGGAGUUACUGGGCGUAAAGGGCGUGCAGGCGGUGGGGUAAGUCUGUUGUGAAAGCGCCUGGCUUAACCGGGCGAGGCCAAUGGAGACUGCUCGACUAGAGGACGGUAGAGGAGUGUGGAAUUCCGGGUGUAGUGGUGAAAUGCGUAGAGAUCCGGAGGAACACCAGAGGCGAAGGCGGCACUCUAAGCCGUACCUGACGCUGAGACGCGACAGCACGGGGAGCGAACGGG